CCUACGGGUGGCUGCAGUGGGGAAUAUUGGACAAUGGGCGCAAGCCUGAUCCAGCAAUGCCGCGUGUGUGAAGAAGGCCUGCGGGUUGUAAAGCACUUUAAGCAGGAAAGAAGGGCGGAGCGAUAAUACCGUUUCGCAUUGACGUUACCUGCAGAAUAAGCACCGGCUAACUCCGUGCCAGCAGCCGCGGUAAUACGGAGGGUGCGAGCGUUAAUCGGAAGUACUCGGCGUAAACCGUCCGUCGUCAAAUCCCUGGGCUUAACCUGGGAACUGCGGUGGAUACUGUCGGGCUAGAGUGUGGUAGAGGGGAGUGGAAUUUCCGGUGUAGCAGUGAAAUGCGUAGAGAUCGGAAGGAACACCAGUGGCGAAGGCGGCUCCCUGGACCAACACUGACGCUGAGGUGCGAAAGCGUGGGGAGCAAACAGGAUUAGAUACCCUAGUAGUC
rnacentral:rRNA from 1 species